CAACAAGCUCGUUUUUUUCCCCCUUCUUUUUCUCUUGCUUGCCAGUCUUUGCUGUUGGUUAUGCGCUCAUUUACUGAGGCACCAUCCCGCAGACGCUUCACCCUAACUAUGCGUGGCGCCCCUGAAAAAUGCAGGCCGUGGAUUGUCCCUGCGUUGCCUGAAUGCCACAAUCUGCUUAUCCGUUUCCUGAAAACAGUUUUUUCUAUUCUUCUGCAGAAUUUUUUUUUCAUUGUUUUUUUUUUCUUCAAGUCAGAACUCGACUCCUGUUUAGAAGCCUCUUUUAAAAUUGUUUCUGUUUUCUGAAGCGGGAGCUUAGGGUUGAAGUAUAAGAAAAAAAGAGUGUCCGAAGAAUGGACAGAUGAAGGGGACAGAGGCAAAGAAUGAGGGGAAAAUGGAGAGCAUGGUCUGCGGGAGAAAGCGAGAAAGACAGAGAAAGAGAGGGAGAGAGAGAGGUAGGAGAAAGAGUACCGGCACUGGCAAGAAAAACAGGAGGGGGAAGAGAGAAGAAGGGGGACCAGUAGGGGAUAGACUUAGGAAGGAGGGACGGCUGGAUAGGAAUUGCCAAAAUCGCGGGAAAAAGGAGAAAAAACAAAACUCCAGAAUGAGGAGAAACUGGACUUCUCUUCAAACUUGCUUGCGCUCUCUGCUCGCCUUUCAUUUUUGGUUUUUGACAUGAUUUUUUAUAAUUUUUCCGGUCACCCCCCAUUCAUCUAUUGCGCCUCUGAGACAACCUGAACUUUUUCAUUGAAGAUGUGGUUUUUAUCAGGAAUGCCGUGGUCAACCAUAGAAGCUCCCCAGUGAGAAGAGAGCCAUGGGAAAAACCUCAAACUUGAUCCCGGUUGUGAGGAUGUGGUCCGGUCCAUUUUGCGCAGACGUCUCAAGACGAAAUAUUUCAUGUCGGACAGCAUCGUCACUGAUAAAAAAACGGUAACCAUCCAAUGUGACGUAUAAACUGUCUGUCACUUUAGAGUCUCUUUUUGUGAUAAGAUACGAUGCUACAUAUCUAUAAAUAGUUAAAAUUGUAUUUAUAUGCAGGUUUAAUGUCAAAAGUAAAUCUCACUGAGCUUAAAUAACAGCAUUAAAAAACAUACGUCACAGAAA